rnacentral:rRNA from 1 species
AUUGAACGCUGGCGGCAUGCCUUACACAUGCAAGUCGAACGGCAGCACGGGAGCAAUCCUGGUGGCGAGUGGCGAACGGGUGAGUAAUAUAUCGGAACGUGCCCAGUCGUGGGGGAUAACGUAGCGAAAGCUACGCUAAUACCGCAUACGAUCUAUGGAUGAAAGCGGGGGAUCGCAAGACCUCGCGCGAUUGGAGCGGCCGAUAUCAGAUUAGGUAGUUGGUGAGGUAAAGGCUCACCAAGCCGACGAUCUGUAGCUGGUCUGAGAGGACGACCAGCCACACUGGGACUGAGACACGGCCCAGACUCCUACGGGAGGCAGCAGUGGGGAAUUUUGGACAAUGGGCGGCAACGACCUGAUCCAGCGAUGCC